rnacentral:rRNA from 1 species
CCUACGGGAGGCUGCAGUGAGGAAUAUUGGUCAAUGGACGAUAGCCUGAACCAGCCAAGUAGCGUGAAGGAUGACUGCCCUAUGGGUUGUAAACUUCUUUUAUAAAGGAAUAAAACGAGGCACGUGUGCCUGUUUGCAUGUACUUUAUGACUAAGUAUCGGCUAACUCCGUGCCAGCAGCCGCGGUAAUACGGAGGAUCCGAGCGUUAUCCGGAUUUAUUGGGUUUAAAGGGAGCGUAGAUGGGUUGUUAAGUCAGUUGUGAAAGUUUGCGGCUCAACCGUAAAAUUGCAAUUGAUACUGGCAGUCUUGAGUACAGUUGAGGUAGGCGGAAUUCGUGGUGUAGCGGUGAAAUGCUUAGAGAUCACGAAGAACCCCGAUUGCGAAGGCAGCUUACUAAACUGUGACUGACAUUGAUGCUCGAAAGUGUGGGUAUCAAACAGGAUUAGAUACCCCGGUAGUC